GCCGCGAGCCCGUGUGUGUCUGUGUGUGCUCUGUGUGUGCUGUGCUGUGUGUGCUUGGAUUUUAUGACGUAAGUUUCGUCAUAUCAUAACGUACCGCCAAACACGAGAAAAUACAUCAAGCGACGUAAUUGUGACGAGGUCCAAGAUCAUCACAACAAAAAUCUUCCAAAGUCCCUUGAAACUGAGCUGUGACGUCAUGAAGAAGGUAAGAUAGAUUUUAAAAAGCUUAAGUUUAAUACUGAGAAAGGUUUAUAACACCCUGGAGUGU
rnacentral:lncRNA from 1 species